rnacentral:tRNA from 1 species
GCCCCCUUAGCUCAACGGAUAGAGCGUUGGCCUCCGGAGCCAAAGAUGGAAGUUCGAUUCUUCCAGGGGGCA